rnacentral:lncRNA from 1 species
AACAUUGCAUGUACUUGCAAAAACAGAAACAGUAUUCUCUGCUUCUAGGAGUCAGAGUUUAAUUUGUAUCUAUUAACCAACAUCAUUGAUCACAGUGUACACAGGGUCUGCAUUUUCAUUUAUUUCUGUUGACUCACUCUGUCAAAGACUGGGAAAUGCUAACAGUAUCUCUGCAUUUCCAAAGACAUUUUGUGAGAACAUUUCAAAUACAUUUGGAUGCUUUGUCAUUCACCACAUAAAUAUUCAUGACUCUAAAACGUCCAUUGACAUUUUAUCUUAAUUGAGACGUGCUUUCAAAUUUUGUUCUUGACAUAGUUCAGUCUCAUAUGUUUGCGCACAUCAAACUUUCUUCCAUCUGAGACGUCUUGUUUUUUAGAGCUGCUUUUUUGUGCAGGUGAAUUGGGUCAAGACUUGGAAGCUUCAUUUUUUAUGUAUUUCAAAAAAGAGAACACUAGGCAGAAUUUAUUUAAAAUCAAUCCCAGGUUAUUAAAAAUAAGGAAAAAUGAAAAGGGAGAAAGAUACUCAUGGAUAACCUUUCCUAGAGUGAUUAAAACAAAUGAAACACCAACCAAAACACUAAAUGCAAUCACCAUUCAAUAUAUACUAAUUUUGAAAGGAGGUGGAUGGCAUAAGUCCAGCUCAAAUUUUUUAAAAAAAGAUAAGUAAAAAGGUUAAUAUAAUUUUUUUUGCAUUUUUAAAAUUAUAGUUGAUUUAUAACGUUCUGUCAAAUUUUGCUAUACAGCAAAAUGACCCAACAUUAAUAUCAUUAAUAUACCCAUUUUUUUUUGGUUAAGAUAUUGAUACUUAAUUUUUAUUCAAAGUGCUUUCACGUGUCUAAUGAACUCACGGUUUCCCUUUUAUUUUGACUGUUCCACAGCAUAUGGAGAUUCUGAGCCAGGGAAUCAGAUCCAAGCCACUGUUGUGACUUAACGCAGCACCUGUGGCAAUGCCGGAGCUUGAACCCACUGUGCUGGGCUGGGUAUUGAACCUGCAUCCCAGGGCUCCAGAGACACUGCUGAUCCAUUGUGCCACAGCAGGAACUCCACAGCUUCCAUUUUACUCUCGGAUACAAAUCAACCUCAGAGUCUGUUGUCCCAUGCAUGCCUUGUUUUAUCGCAUUUAUAUAUUUCACUUGGCAAAUUGGUAAAUGCAUUUACACUCUUAGAGGUUUAAAAUUAAACACAUGAGCGUUUAGGUUUUUCGAUGUCUGUGUGAAAGGCACACAGAUUUCAUUUCACCACCAUGAUCAUAUUGGAAAUAGAGAUCAAAAUUAUAUAUACGUGUGCAGAUGACAAGAGCACAGCUUCUCUGGCCACGGUUGGGGCAUGUGGAAGUUCCCCGCCCAGGGCUCGAACACGCACCACAGCAGCGACGUGAGCCACAACAGGGGCAAUGCCGGAUAUGUAAUCUGCGAUGCCACAAAGGACCUCCAAGAGCAUACUUUUAAAACGGUCAUGUAGUUUUAGGAAGAACUUAGGAGUUUGAUUCCUAAACAUCAAUCACAAAUACCCUAUAUACUUGAGUUUCAAAUCUGAAAUAAAAAGAAUUAGAUGAUUGCCACUCUAGGCAAACAUAACGCCCUUUCCUGCAAAGACGUCCACGUCCUGAUUUCUAGAACAUGCGAACACGUCCCCUUGGACAGUAGAGGGGAGUUAAAUUUGCAGAUGCCUUAAGGCUGGUGAUGAGCAGACCUUAAACGGGGGAGUGGAGCCUCGGGUCAUGUAGGUGGACCAGUGGACUCAUAAAGGUCCCUACAUGUAGAAGUGGGUGGCAGAGUUAGAGUGAGGUCACACCAGGGACUCACUGGGUCCUGGCUGGCAGUGAAGAUGGCAGGAGCCACAGCCCAAAACAGGCGAUCCACCUGUAUAAGCUGGAAAAGGCAGGAAUCAGAUCCUCCCAUGUGGCCUUGGGAAAUGACCUCAGCUUUGCUGAUGUCUCGACAUUCUGACCCAGGGAACCCAAAACAGACUUCUGAACUCUGGGACGGUGAGUUCCUCUGUAAGCAUCUAUCAUUUCUCCUGUUCAUCAAUGUUUACUUUGUAGAUUCACUUGCCUACAAUUUAAACAUCUGCCUAAGCAAACAAACUCGGGGGCAUGGAGAACCAUUGCCGAGGGGGAGGGAAUGGGAUGGACAGAGAGUCUGGGGUUAGUAGAUGCAAACUAUUGCAUUUACAGUGGAUAAGCAAUGAGAUCCUGCUGUAUCUCACAGGGAACUAUAUCUAGUCACUUGUGAUGGAGCAUGCUGGAGAGUAAUGAGAGAAAAAGAAUGUAUACAUCUAUGUAUAAGUGGGUCACUGCUGUACAGCAGAAAUUGAUAGAACAUUGUAAAUGAAGUAUGAUAAAAAUUUUAAAAAAUAGUUAAUGAAUUAAUAUCUGCCUAAGAGCCAGGAGACCUUCUGGAUGUCCAGAGUGGGUACACUUCUGUCCUCACAGCAACAGAGUGAUGGUCAAAUCAAGAAAUGGUUCCUGGGGAGGGGUCACCCUUUGUCCAAAGCAGCUCUUCAGGGACUUCUUUCAAAGUCACCAUGCUGAGCGCAGAGGGUCCAUUUUUAGAAAGGUAGCGGAAUCCCCGGGUCUAGAGCUCAGUUGGCAACAUUCUGAGUUCUGCUCACCGUGGUCCUUGCUGGCUCAGGUCCGUGCCAUGGCUAGAUUGAAAUACGAUGAUAACAGCUUCAUUGUUGUGCUUUCCGUUUUAUUAUUGUCUUUGCGUCCGUGGUCGUCAUGAAAUGAGGCACACAUCUGAAGUUAGCAGAGAGGCUCCGUGAUAAUGACUUCUUUUCGGCAUCAUUGACUUUUCUCAUUUAAUCAAUAAUUUCAUUAUUCUCUGUGGAGCUUGAUCAAGCUCCCCCUUCUCUGUGUGUUUGUGUAUCUCCAGGCUUCUUGUUUUAAAACAUUACUUCCUGUCAAAACUAUUUAUGUAAUUUAAAAAUAUGAUCAAGCUCCAUGCUUAUUUCCUGUUAGCAGGCUGUCUUGACGAUAUUAUGCAGUAUCAUUUAGAUGUGCAAUUUUGACAAAUGCCCCCAACACUCCAUUGAUUUCUUCCAUUACAUUAUAGGCAAAGACAUUAUUGGUAGCAACGAUGCUGAGUUUUGAAACACUGUUCUCGCGAGCAAAUACAUGUUCUGACUUUGCCUCUGUUUCAGCACCUGGUGUCAGAUACAAUGCCUUUUGGUAGCGCACCACAGGGCUACAGAAGGAACGCAAAGUCAAGAAGGUUCUAUAGGGAUGUUUUUUUUUUUUCAAUACGUACUGCUCUGCUCACACCUAAGUGUCCCGGAAGGAAGUUCCCAAUGUGGAAAUAGCCACUUGCGAAAUUUAAGAAUUUUUUUAGGGGGAAAAUGUGCUUUUGGUUUCUCUUUUAUAAGAACCUUUCUGCCUAAGAAAUGGUGGCCAUCCUUUUUCGCUUGAAAUAUUCUUUUCUUUUUUGACUUUUUAGGGCUGUACUUGCAGCAUAUGGAAGCUCCAAGGCUAUGGAUCAAAUCUGAGCUGCAGCUGCGGCCUAUGCCACAGCCACAGCCACGCAGCAUCCGAGCCACACCUGCAACCUAUACCGCAGCUCACAACAACGCCGGAUCCUUCACCUGCUGAGCAAGGCCAGGGAUAGAACCUGUGUCCUUAUGGAUACUAGUUGGGUUUGUUAUUGUUAUUGCUGAGUCAUGACGAGCACUCUGAAACCCUCUUUAUGUUUGAUUAUACUGAGUGAGUUUACCUAGUUGAAGGGCAGUUCCUUUUCACUCCUGCCGUGGCAUCUAUGUAGAGAAGGGUGUUUCUCUCUGUGACAGUCCUUCCUGCCAUUUGUCUUCACGUAUGUCUUUUCCAAACAAAGGAUUCAGAGUUUUGCAGGCUCACAGAAACUUCUUCCACUACAAAUCCUCUUCUACCGAACGGCGUUUGACACCUGUUUUUCACUUCUAUUCUUCUCCUAUCCUCCCGUGUGUCAAGGUGACUUCAACUGGAAGGUCUGUACAGGUCAUUAAUUGAGCAAUAGAGAAAAAGUCCAUUGCCAUUUUGGUCCCCAAAUGUCCAGAUGACAUUUUGCAAUUGAAAAAUCUAGAAGGGCACUGGUCUGUAUUCUAAGAUGAAAGGAAAAGGAAGCCGUGUCUGCCCUGGCUGGUGUUCCUGUUUUAAAGAUGAACUGGCAUCUGCUAUUUUUACAGGAAAGGUAAGAAGUUUGUUGGGCCACCAUCCUACCUCAUGUGUGUGAUCCUGAUAACUUCAAAGUCAGUCCUCUCUUCCCUUGAUAGAGGAAUUCAUUUUGCUCCAGGAGAUUAAGUGAGAGAAAAGCUGAGAGGGGAUUCGAAUUUGGGUUUGUCUCUUUACAAAGUUUGGGUUCUUGUAUCUGUCUUCUCUCGUCUCUUCUGUCUGAGAAUAAAUACAGUUAACUGGGGAACUCCUGUCACUGAACGGUGUGCAAGGAUUCAGAGACAAACCACUGAAACCUCUCUCUUUGUCCAGGAAAACCUGAGAGGAUGGAGUUAAAACGGAUCCAAACAGCACAGGCAUUUGAGAACCCGAGAUUUCAAAGCGGGCGCCGACGCACAAGGCAAGAUGAUGUUUACGAUCCAUCACGGGUUCCUGAAACGCUUAAAGAGAGUGAUGAAUCUGGAAUGGAUGUUUGGCAACACCCUCGAGAAAGCAGUGUUUCUCCUGAUACACCUGCUCUGAUCAUUUGCUCACGUGGCUGCACAGAUGAGCCUGCAAGGGACAGAGGAGUCCAGGGUGGCUGGAUCAGGGCAUCUAACGCAUGGAACCUCUGAAGACUUUGUUUGACCAAAGAG